GUAGGUGAACCUGCGGAAGGAUCAUUGUCGAUGCCUGCGAAGCAGAACGACCCGCGAACCGUUCCUCGGCACUCGGGAUUACCGGGGGUCGCCCGGUGGCCCGAAUCUCCGGACGCCUGGGGUGCAACCCACCUCCGGCGGACGGAGCUCCAAACAAAACCCCGGCGCGCGAAGCGCCAAGGUACUCCAACGGAUGGGGCAUGCGGCCGUAGCCCUGGGAUCCAGUGCGCUCGGGCCGCUGCCCAACGUCGUAAAAGUCUAAACGACUCUCGGCAACGGAUAUCUCGGCUCUCGCAUCGAUGAAGAACGCAGCGAAAUGCGAUACUUGGUGUGAAUUGCAGAAUCCCGUGAACCAUCGAGUCUUUGAACGCAAGUUGCGCCCGAGGCCUCGGCCGAGGGCACGUCUGCCUGGGUGUCACAACGGCAUCGUGCCUCCAAACCCUCCGCCCCUCGAACGUUGCGGCGAUUGGGUUGGAUGCGGAAGCUGGCCUCCCGUGACCGAGAGCCACGGAUGGCCCAAAUACGUGCUAAGGAAGCGGAGCGCCACGGCGUUCGGUGGUCGAACGAAGCCCCAGAAACGACGCCGGUGGCCGCCGCAUCCGUCCCUAGCCUACGACCCUAAACGUUAACCAACGCGACCUCAGGUCAGGCGGGGCUACCCGCUGAGUUUAAGCAUAUCAA
rnacentral:rRNA from 1 species